GACGAACCACACGAACGUUAUUCGGAAUUACUGGGCUUAAAGGGUGCGUAGGCUGUGCGGAAAGUUGGGUGUGAAAUCCCCCGGCUCAACCGGGGAAUUGCGCCCAAAACUACCGUGCUGGAGAAAGACAGAGGUGAGCGGAACUUCGGGUGGAGCGGUGAAAUGCGUUGAUAUCCGAAGGAACACCGGAGGCGAAGGCGGCUUACUGGGGCCUUUCUGACGCUGAGGAACGAAAGCUAGGGGAGCGAACGGG
rnacentral:rRNA from 1 species